UACGUAGGGCGCAAGCGUUAUCCGGAAUUAUUGGGCGUAAAGAGCUCGUAGGCGGUUUGUCGCGUCUGCCGUGAAAGUCCGGGGCUCAACUCCGGAUCUGCGGUGGGUACGGGGCAGACUAGAGUGAUGUAGGGGAGACUGGAAUUCCUGGUGUAGCGGUGAAAUGCGCAGAUAUCAGGAGGAACACCGAUGGCGAAGGCAGGUCUCUGGGCAUUAACUGACGCUGAGGAGCGAAAGCAUGGGGAGCGAACAGGG
rnacentral:rRNA from 1 species